AUUGAACGCUGGCGGCAUGCUUUACACAUGCAAGUCGAACGGCAGCGCGGGCUUCGGCCUGGCGGCGAGUGGCGAACGGGUGAGUAAUACAUCGGAACGUGCCCAGUAGUGGGGGAUAGCUCGGCGAAAGCCGGAUUAAUACCGCAUACGACCUGAGGGUGAAAGCGGGGGAUCUUCGGACCUCGCGCUAUUGGAGCGGCCGAUGGCAGAUUAGCUAGUUGGUGGGGUAAAGGCCUACCAAGGCGACGAUCUGUAGCUGGUCUGAGAGGACGACCAGCCACACUGGGACUGAGACACGGCCCAGACUCCUACGGGAGGCAGCAGUGGGGAAUUUUGGACAAUGGGCGAAAGCCUGAUCCAGCAAUGCCGCGUGUGUGAUGAAGGCCUUCGGGUUGUAAAGCACUUUUGGCGGGAACGAAAAGGACUGUGCCAAUACCACGGCUCGAUGACGGUACCUGCAGAAUAAGCACCGGCUAACUACGUG
rnacentral:rRNA from 1 species